GAGUUUGAUCCUGGCUCAGGACGAACGCUGGCGGCGUGCUUAAUACAUGCAAGUCGAUCGCUCUCGACCUUCGGGUCACAUGAGAGAGUGGCGAACGGGUGCGUAACACGUGAGAAACCUGCCCCAAAGACGGGAAUAGCCCGAGGAAACUCAGAUUAAUACCCGAUAUCUCCACAAUGCCGCAUGGCAAUGUGAAGAAAGUUCAGGCGCUUUGGGAGGGUCUCGCGGCCUAUCAGCUUGUUGGUGAGGUAACGGCUCACCAAGGCAUCGACGGGUAGCUGGUCUGAGAGGACGAUCAGCCACACUGGGACUGAGACACGGCCCAGACUCCUACGGGAGGCAGCAGUAGGGAAUCUUGCGCAAUGGGCGAAAGCCUGACGCAGCAACGCCGCGUGGGGGAUGAAUGCCUUCGGGCUGUAAACCCCUUUCAGCAGGGACGAAAAUGACGGUACCUGCAGAAGAAGCUCCGGCCAACUACGUGCCAGCAGCCGCGGUAAUACGUAGGGAGCGAGCGUUGUCCGGAAUUAUUGGGCGUAAAGAGCUCGUAGNCGGUUCGGUAAGUCGGGUGUGAAAACUCAAGGCUCAACCUUGAGACGCCACUCGAUACUGCUGUGACUUGAGUCCGGUAG
rnacentral:rRNA from 1 species